rnacentral:rRNA from 1 species
UAGCGGCGAGCGAACGGGGAGCAGCCCAGAGUCUUAAUCAGCAUUAGCAUCAGGAGAACGGUCUGGAAAGUCCGGCAGUAAAGGGUGAUAGCCCCGUAUCCGAAGGUGUUAGUGUUGUGAACUCGACGAGUAGGGCGGGACACGUGUUAUCCUGUCUGAAUAUGGGGGGACCAUCCUCCAAGGCUAAAUACUCCUGAUUGACCGAUAGUGAACCAGUACCGUGAGGGAAAGGCGAAAAGAACCCCGGCGAGGGGAGUGAAAUAGAACCUGAAACCGUGUACGUACAAGCAGUGGGAGCCCCAUCACUCAAGUGCCUCGGCAAUUGAGUGAUGGUGUAAAACCAUCACAAUAACAGCGCAGGAUUUGCCAACAAGAUUGGCUGAUUUUUUCAAGCCGCAGCGCAGUGGACAUCGAAGUCCAUGAGCAGCGGAAGUUAAAAAAUCGGGCAAGAUUGGCCGCAAAGCCAAGCGGGACAUUUGAGGAUGGGGUGACUGCGUACCUUUUGUAUAAUGGGUCAGCGACUUAUAUUCUGUAGCAAGGUUAACCGWAUAGGGGAGCCGUAGGGAAACCGAGUCUUAACUGGGCGAAUAAGUUGCAGGGUAUAGACCCGAAACCCGGUGAUCUAGCCAUGGGCAGGUUGAAGGUUGGGUAACACUAACUGGAGGACCGAACCGACUAAUGUUGAAAAAUUAGCGGAUGACUUGUGGCUGGGGGUGAAAGGCCAAUCAAACCGGGAGAUAGCUGGUUCUCCCCGAAAGCUAUUUAGGUAGCGCCUYGUGAACUCAUCUUCGGGGG